rnacentral:misc_RNA from 1 species
AUCAACUAUGGGAGUGAGCUGCCUCUCGCACAGGGGAUUAACUUUGGCUAAGCUCAGAUAGCAUUCAGGUUGUUCGGUCCUCCUUGGAAUAAGUAUCUUUCUUUCUGUCGCCUUCUGAUAUAUUUGCUAUGUUUAGCACUAAAACUUGUGACUUGGAAGAAUUCCAGAUAUGUUUGCCAUGUUUAACUCUACUACUUGUGACCGGAAAGAAUUUUAAGCUAA